UACGUAGGGUGCAAGCGUUGUCCGGAAUUAUUGGGCGUAAAGAGCUCGUAGGUGGUUUGUUACGUCUGCUGUGAAAACCUAGGGCUUAACCCUGGGCUUGCAGUGGAUACGGGCAGACUAGAGGUAGGUAGGGGAGAAUGGAAUUCCUGGUGUAGCGGUGAAAUGCGCAGAUAUCAGGAGGAACACCGGUGGCGAAGGCGGUUCUCUGGGCCUUACCUGACACUGAGGAGCGAAAGCGUGGGGAUCAAACAGG
rnacentral:rRNA from 1 species